GACGAACGCUGGCGGCGUGCUUAACACAUGCAAGUCGAGCGAGAAAGCGGCUUCGGCCGUGAGUACAGCGGCGAACGGGUGAGUAACACGUGGGCAACCUGCCCCAGAGAUUGGGAUUACGUCCCGAAAGGGACGCUAAUACCGAAUAACGCGUGACCUGCCAAGUGGGUCACGCCAAAUGGUAGCCUCGGCCUCUGCUCUGGGAUGGGCCCGCGCCGGAUUAGCUUGUUGGUAGGGUAACGGCCUACCAAGGCGACGAUCCGUAGCUGGUCUGAGAGGACGAUCAGCCACACUGGGACUGAGACACGGCCCAGACUCCUACGGGAGGCAGCAGUGGGGAAUCUUGCGCAAUGGGCGAAAGCCUGACGCAGCAACGCCGCGUGAGCGAAGACGGCCUUCGGGUUGUAAAGCUCUGUCAGGAGGGACGAAGCCACUCGGGUGAAUAGCCCAGAGGGUGACGGUACCUCCAGAGGAAGCCCCGGCUAACUACGUGCCAGCCGCCGCCGUAA
rnacentral:rRNA from 1 species